AAUAGAUACCCGGGUAGUCCACGCCGUAAACGAUGAGUGCUAAGUGUUAGGGGGGUUUCCGCCCCUUAGUGCUGCAGCUAACGCAUUAAGCACUCCGCCUGGGGAGUACGGUCGCAAGACUGAAACUCAAAGGAAUUGACGGGGGGCCCGCACAAGCGGUGGAGCAUGUGGUUUAAUUCGAAGCAACGCGAAGAACCUUACCAGGUCUUGACAUCCCACUGACCGCUAUGGAGACAUAGUUUUCCCUUCGGGGACAGUGGUGACAGGUGGUGCAUGGUUGUCGUCAGCUCGUGUCGUGAGAUGUUGGGUUAAGUCCCGCAACGAGCGCAACCCUUGAUCUUAGUUGCCAUCAUUUAGUUGGGCACUCUAAGGUGACUGCCGGUGACAAACCGGAGGAAGGUGGGGAUGACGUCAAAUCAUCAUGCCCCUUAUGACCUGGGCUACACACGUGCUACAAUGGACGGUACAAACGGUUGCCACCCGUGAGGGGAGCUAAUCCGAUAAAACCGUUCUCAGUUCGGAUUGUAGGCUGCAACUCGCCUAC
rnacentral:rRNA from 1 species